rnacentral:rRNA from 1 species
UCCUACGGGGGGCAGCAGUGGGGGAUAUUGCACAAUGGGGGAAACCCUGAUGCAGCGACGCCGCGUGAGUGAAGAAGUAUUUCGGUACGUAAAGCUCUAUCAGCAGGGAAGAAUAAUGACGGUACCUGACUAAGAAGCCCCGGCUAACUACGUGCCAGCAGCCGCGGUAAUACGUAGGGGGCAAGCGUUAUCCGGAUUUACUGGGUGUAAAGGGAGCGUAGACGGCUGUGCAAGUCUGAAGUGAAAUGCCGGGGCCCAACCGCGGAACUGCUUUGGGAACUGUUUUGCUGGAGUAUGGGAGGGGU